CGUGCCAGCAGCCGCGGUAAGACGGAGGGUGCAAGCGUUAUUCGGAUUUAUUGGGCGUAAAGAGUGUGUAGGCGGCCGGCCAAGCCAGAUGUGAAAGCCCAGGGCUUAACCCUGGAAGGGCAUUUGGAACUGGUUGGCUUGAGUUCGGGAGAGGGAAGUGGAAUUCCGGGUGUAGAGGUGAAAUUCGUAGAUAUCCGGAGGAACACCGGUGGCGAAGGCGACUUCCUGGACCGAAACUGACGCUGAGACACGAAAGCGUGGGGAGCAAACAGGAUUAGAUACCCUGGUAGUCCACGCUGUAAACGAUGGGCGCUAGGUGUGGGGGGUUUUUAAUCCCUCCGUGCCGCAGCUAACGCAUUAAGCGCCCCGCCUGGGGAGUACGGCCGCAAGGUUA
rnacentral:rRNA from 1 species